UACAGAGGGGGCAAGCGUUGUUCGGAAUUACUGGGCGUAAAGGGCGCGUAGGCGGCCUUCUAAGUCGAACGUGAAAUCCCUGGGCUCAACCCAGGAACUGCGUCCGAGACUGGUGGGCUCGAAUCCGGGAGAGGGAUGUGGAAUUCCUGGUGUAGCGGUGAAAUGCGCAGAUAUCAGGAGGAACACCAAUGGCGAAGGCAGCUCGCUGGGACGUGACUGACGCUGAGACGCGAAAGCGUGGGGAGCAAACAGG
rnacentral:rRNA from 1 species